GUCCUGACCCCUCCCGGUGUCCCGGGACAAACACGGGGACGGGUCCUGACCCCUCCCGGUGUCCCGGGACAAACACGGGGACGGGUCCUGACCCCUCCCGGUGUCCCGGGACAAACACGGGCACAGCCCCCGGUUCCCCCCGUGCCCUGGAGGCGCCGGGUCCCGGCUUUGCUCUAUCCCGGGCUGCUGCCAGCCCUGUCCAACCCGGCCAGGAUCCCCCUGGAAUCCCCGGUGGAUCCCCCUGGAAUUCCCUUGGAUCCCCCUGGAAUCCCUGGUGGAUCCCUCUGGAAUCCCUGGUGGAUCCCCCUGGAAUCCCCAGUGGAUCCCUCUGGAAUCCCGGUGGAUCCCCCUGGAAUCCCUGGUGGAUCCCCCUGGAAUUCCCUUGGAUCCCCCUGGAAUUCCGGUGGAUCCCCCUGGAAUCCCCGGUGGAUCCCUCUGGAAUCCCUGGUGGAUCCCCCUGGAAUUCCCUUGGAUCCCCCUGGAAUUCCGGUGGAUCCCCUGGAAUCCCUGGUGGAUCCCUCUGGAAUCCCGGUGGAUCCCCCUGGAAUCCCGGUGGAUCCCUCUGGAAUUCCCUUGGAUCCCCCUGGAAUUCCCUUGGAUCCCUCUGGAAUUCCCUUGGAUCCCUCUGGAAUUCCCUUGGAUCCCUCUGGAAUUCCCUUGGAUCCCCCUGGAAUUCCCUUGGAUCCCCCUGGAAUUCCCUUGGAUCCCCUGGAAUCCCCGGUGGAUCCCUCUGGAAUCCCCGGUGGAUCCCCCUGCCCGGGUGUUGGGCUCAGGGGGAUCCCCCUGUGCCACCCCGGGCUCUCCCAGCAGAAUUCCCUGGUGCCAAUCCCGCCCUGGGCAUCGCUGGCAGCUCCCGGGACGUGCUGGAAAUCCGGGAUUGGGGCAGAAAUCCGGGAUUGGGUCAGAAAUCCGGGAUGUGGCAGAAAUCCGGGAUGUGGCAGAAAUCCGGGAUUGGGGCAGAAAUCCAGGAUUGGGGCAGAAAUCCGGGAUUGGGUCAGAAAUCCGGGAUUGGGUCAGAAAUCCGGGAUGUGGCAGAAAUCCGGGAUUGGUGCAGAAAUCCGGGAUUGGGUCAGAAAUCCGGGAUUGGGGCAGAAAUCCGGGAUUGGGUCAGGUUUCCCGGCCCUUCCAUGCUCAAACUCCAGGAUUCCCCCCAAGCCCCCAUUCCCGCCCUGUGGAUCCCGGCGGGACGAGGAUCCAAACGCUGCCGUUAAUUCACCGGCUCCAUCCCGGGAGCAGGAAUCGCUGCCUGCCGGGCUCAUCCCGGCUUUUUUGGGAAUGUUCCAACCCCGAGCUCCCCAGGGCAGGCGGGGAAGGGGAAAUUCCUGCUGGGAACCCCCGGGAGCUCGGGAGGGGCUGGGAAGGAUGGGAUUGUCUCGUUCAUCCAUGGGCUGCGCGGAGCUGCUGGGAUUUCCUGGGAUUUCAGCUGCUCCCAGUCCUGGAGCUGUUGGGAUGAGGUUUGGGAAGGGAAGGAGCUCCCGGGGAGCUCUGGAAUCCCUGCCCUGA
rnacentral:lncRNA from 1 species